GAUCAUGGCUCAGAUUGAACGCUGGCGGCAUGCCUUACACAUGCAAGUCGAACGGUAACAGGUCUUCGGAUGCUGACGAGUGGCGAACGGGUGAGUAAUACAUCGGAACGUGCCCGAUCGUGGGGGAUAACGAAGCGAAAGCUUUGCUAAUACCGCAUAAGAUCUAAAGAUGAAAGCAGGGGACCACAAGGCCUUGCGCGAACGGAGCGGCCGAUGGCAGAUUAGGUAGUUGGUGGGA
rnacentral:rRNA from 1 species